rnacentral:rRNA from 1 species
GAGACCCACGCCAACAGUUGCCAGCUYGUCCUCMGGGAUGGAGGGGACACUGUUGGGACCGCCUCUGCUAAAGAGGAGGAAGGAAUGGGCAACGGUAGGUCAGCAUGCCCCGAAUUAUCUGGGCUACACGCGGGCUACAAUGGGUGGGACAAUGGGUAUCGACACCGAGAGGUGAAGGCAAUCUCCUAAACCCAUCCUUAGUUCGGAUUGUGGGUUGCAACUCACCCACAUGAAGCUGGAAUCCGUAGUAAUCGUGUUUCAAAAUAGCACGGUGAAUAU